AAAAACAUAUGUAUAGAAGCAGAUAUGAAAAAGCUCUUGGGGUUGGAGGCUGCUGGUUGCAAAUGUCACAUUCAAGUUGUUGAGUCAGCUCAUUGAUUGUGACAGAUGGAGCAUGUCUCUUGGUUCUGGAUAAAACAUCAGAUGCUAAACCUGUUUCAGAGGCUGGAAAUCCUGAACACCUUUUGGUGGAUCUGCAGAGUUCAUCUGAACGACCAGCCUCUGGACAGGCUGCAUCAUCCUCUGUUUAUUAAAGGCAGCUCAGUAACAGUGGCUUUUUCCUUACAGCUCCUCACAAAAGCUCUGAGCUCUCUGAGAACCUGAAUCCAGAGACCUGAUUUACAAACACAUCCUGCACUGAUAUGCAUAUUGGUUACAGCUCUGGACAACAUCUUUAUGGACUCUAUGCUAGCGGACAUAAACUUCUGAUUUGCAAGCCCA